rnacentral:rRNA from 1 species
CGUUGCACUAUCGUUAACUGAAUACAUAGGUUAACGAGGCGAACCGGGGGAACUGAAACAUCUAAGUACCCCGAGGAAAAGAAAUCAACCGAGAUUCCCCCAGUAGCGGCGAGCGAACGGGGAGCAGCCCGGAGUCUGAAUCAGCUUGUGUGUUAGUGGAACGGUCUGGAAAGUCCGACGGUACAGGGUGAUAGUCCCGUACACGAAAGCACACUUGCUGUGAACUCGAAGAGUAGGGCGGGACACGUGGUAUCCUGUCUGAAUAUGGGGGGACCAUCCUCCAAGGCUAAAUACUCCUGACUGACCGAUAGUGAACCAGUACCGUGAGGGAAAGGCGAAAAGAACCCCGGCGAGGGGAGUGAAAAAGAACCUGAAACCGUGUACGUACAAGCAGUGGGAGCACCUUCGUGGUGUGACUGCGUACCUUUUGUAUAAUGGGUCAGCGACUUAUAUUCUGUAGCAAGGUUAACCGUAUAGGGGAGCCGAAGGGAAACCGAGUCUUAACUGGGCGUUAAGUUGCAGGGUAUAGACCCGAAACCCGGUGAUCUAGCCAUGGGCAGGUUGAAGGUUGGGUAACACUAACUGGAGGACCGAACCGACUAAUGUUGAAAAAUUAGCGGAUGACCUGUGGCUGGGGGUGAAAGGCCAAUCAAACCGGGAGAUAGCUGGUUCUCCCCGAAAGCUAUUUAGGUAGCGCCUCGUGAACUCAUCUUCGGGGGUAGAGCACUGUUUCGGCUAGGGGGCCAUCCCGGCUUACCAACCCGAUGCAAACUACGAAUACCGAAGAAUGUUAUCACGGGAGACACACGGCGGGUGCUAACGUCCGUCGUGAAGAGGGAAACAACCCAGACCGCCAGCUAAGGUCCCAAAGUCAUGGUUAAGUGGGAAACGAUGUGGGAAGGCACAGACAGCCAGGAUGUUGGCUUAGAAGCAGCCAUCAUUUAAAGAAAGCGUAAUAGCUCACUGGUCGAGUCGGCCUGCGCGGAAGAUGUAACGGGGCUAAACCAUGCACCGAAGCUGCGGCAGCGACACUAUGUGUUGUUGGGUAGGGGAGCGUUCUGUAAGCCGUUGAAGGUGGCCUGUGAGGGUUGCUGGAGGUAUCAGAAGUGCGAAUGCUGACAUAAGUAACGAUAAAGCGGGUGAAAAGCCCGCUCGCCGGAAGACCAAGGGUUCCUGUCCAACGUUAAUCGGGGCAGGGUGAGUCGACCCCUAAGGCGAGGCCGAAAGGCGUAGUCGAUGGGAAACAGGUUAAUAUUCCUGUACUUGGUGUUACUGCGAAGGGGGGACGGAGAAGGCUAUGUCAGCCGGGCGACGGUUGUCCCGGUUUAAGCAUGUAGGCGGAGGUUCCAGGUAAAUCCGGUACCUUGUUAACGCUGAGGUGUGAUGACGAGGCACUACGGUGCUGAAGUGAUAAAUGCCCUGCUUCCAGGAAAAGCCUCUAAGCAUCAGGUAACACGAAAUCGUACCCCAAACCGACACAGGUGGUCAGGUAGAGAAUACCAAGGCGCUUGAGAGAACUCGGGUGAAGGAACUAGGCAAAAUGGUGCCGUAACUUCGGGAGAAGGCACGCUGAUGUGUAGGUGAAGUCCCUGCGGACGGAGCUGAAAUCAGUCGAAGAUACCAGCUGGCUGCAACUGUUUAUUAAAAACACAGCACUGUGCAAACACGAAAGUGGACGUAUACGGUGUGACGCCUGCCCGGUGCCGGAAGGUUAAUUGAUGGGGUUAGCUGUAAGGCGAAGCUCUUGAUCGAAGCCCCGGUAAACGGCGGCCGUAACUAUAACGGUCCUAAGGUAGCGAAAUUCCUUGUCGGGUAAGUUCCGACCUGCACGAAUGGCGUAAUGAUGGCCAGGCUGUCUCCACCCGAGACUCAGUGAAAUUGAACUCGCUGUGAAGAUGCAGUGUACCCGCGGCAAGACGGAAAGACCCCGUGAACCUUUACUAUAGCUUGACACUGAACACUGGUCCUUGAUGUGUAGGAUAGGUGGGAGGCUUUGAAGCGUGGACGCCAGUCUGCGUGGAGCCGCCCUUGAAAUACCACCCUUUAAUGGCUGGUGUUCUAACGUAGACCCGUAAUCCGGGUUGCGGACAGUGUCUGGUGGGUAGUUUGACUGGGGCGGUCUCCUCCCAAAGAGUAACGGAGGAGCACGAAGGUUGGCUAAUCCUGGUCGGACAUCAGGAGGUUAGUGCAAUGGCAUAAGCCAGCUUGACUGCGAGCGUGACGGCGCGAGCAGGUGCGAAAGCAGGUCAUAGUGAUCCGGUGGUUCUGAAUGGAAGGGCCAUCGCUCAACGGAUAAAAGGUACUCCGGGGAUAACAGGCUGAUACCGCCCAAGAGUUCAUAUCGACGGCGGUGUUUGGCACCUCGAUGUCGGCUCAUCACAUCCUGGGGCUGAAGUAGGUCCCAAGGGUAUGGCUGUUCGCCAUUUAAAGUGGUACGCGAGCUGGGUUUAGAACGUCGUGAGACAGUUCGGUCCCUAUCUGCCGUGGGCGCUGGAGAAUUGAGGGGGGCUGCUCCUAGUACGAGAGGACCGGAGUGGACGCAUCACUGGUGUUCGGGUUGUCAUGCCAAUGGCACUGCCCGGUAGCUAAAUGCGGAAGAGAUAAGUGCUGAAAGCAUCUAAGCACGAAACUUGCCCCGAGAUGAGUUCUCCCUGAGACUUUAAGUCUCCUGAAGGAACGUUAAAGACGAUGACGUUGAUAGGUCGGGUGUGUAAGCGCAGCGAUGCGUUGAGCUAACCGAUACUAAUGAACCGUGAGGCUUAACCUU